rnacentral:rRNA from 1 species
GACAGAGGGUGCAAGCGUUGUCCGGAUUUACUGGGCGUAAAGCGUGCGUAGGCGGCCAUAUAAGUCGGACGUGAAAGCCCUGGGCUCAACCCAGGAAGUGCACUCGAUACUGUGUGGCUUGAGUAUCGGAGAGGUUGGUGGAAUUCUCGGUGUAGAGGUGAAAUUCGUAGAUAUCGAGAGGAACACCGGUGGCGAAGGCGGCCAACUGGACGAAUACUGACGCUGAGACACGAAAGCGUGGGGAGCAAACAGG